UAGGGAAUAUUGGUCAAUGGAUGCAAGUCUGAACCAGCCAUGCCGCGUGCAGGAAGAAGGCCUUCUGGGUUGUAAACUGCUUUUGCCAGGGGAUAAAAUUUCCUUGCGAGGAAAAUUGAAGGUACCUGGUGAAUAAGCCACGGCUAACUACGUGCCAGCAGCCGCGGUAAUACGUAGGUGGCAAGCGUUGUCCGGAUUUAUUGGGUUUAAAGGGUGCGUAGGCGGUUUUGUAAGUCAGUGGUGAAAUAUGUCAGCUUAACUGAGAGGGUGCCAUUGAUACUGCAGAACUUGAGUACAGAUGAGGUAGGCGGAAUUGACGGUGUAGCGGUGAAAUGCUUAGAUAUCGUCAAGAACACCUAUAGCGAAGGCAGCUUACUAGGCUGUAACUGACGCUGAGGCACGAAAGUGUGGGGAUCAAACAGG
rnacentral:rRNA from 1 species